UCAUGUUCAAUAUGUGAAUAUUGCUUUUCCUCUUCGCGGCUCCCAUAUCCGCACGGACCCACCCUCCGCCGCCUUCCUGUCCAUUAACUCGCGUCGUCUAAUCGGCUAAACUCCAUUCGUUCCCCUCUCCUCUCGUUGCUUCCACCUCCGCCUCGAAAUCACAGCCGGCGGGAGAGAAGUGGAGGCCGUGGACCUCAGCUGAUUCGUGCCGGUUCAUCUAGUUGCGGUUCACAAACAGCCACCUAUUCCCACAAUGGGUUGUCACCUUGGCGUCGUGGAAGGAACCAUGAUAUAUGAGACAAGAUGGUGGACGGAACAACGAAGCGAGAGCACUGCAGCUUGAUUCGCCACCCUUUCCAGACACUCGAUUCCACAUCAAAACUUUGAAAGGGGAGAGAAGGGGCGGGACCAUACAAAACCUCCCUCUUCACUAGUAUUGGAGGUCGAACUCCGUCAUCUCUUGUUCCAUUGUCAGAGAAGGCAGCACCAGGCUCUCGGCCGGCGAAAAAUAGCUCUAAAGUAUCCUCCAACCUCCAGUUGGUCGCCUGCAGAUACUUGACGGCGGCGUCGGAGGACAAGCCCGUGGCGUUCUCCAAGAAAGAAGAUAUUAGGGCUUCCUUGCUUCCUUCUUAAUGAAGCUCAAAAAGUCUUCCAUGGGAUGAUGGACUCUCAUUUUUUUGAUUCUAACUCCACCGGAUGCUGGGUACGUGUAUAUAUAUAAGUAUUUUAGAUA